GAAAACAGGGAGAAAAACCUGCAGACACAGAAAACACUUUCACAUGUUCCCACAUUUGCUGACCCAGAGAUUACCAAAUACCCUCCAUCUUUUCCAUUUCUAGCUUUCCCAAGCUAAAAGAAGAAAAGAACUCACUGAAUAAAAGAGUAGCAAAGAGGAAAGGAAGAAGGAAGGAUACAUGUUAGAAACCAGCUAUUUAAGCAGCUUACAAACAGGACAUCUUUCAGAAUGAAGAUGAUGAAGGUCUAGUGGUAUGAUGACCAGAGAUGGGGAGAGUAACAGCUGGAAAGACAAAGACAAAACUCACCGUAUUCAUAUCAACUGUUCCUGUAACACCACCAUCAACUGAAGGAUUAGAAGAGGGAAAUGCCCUUGAAAAGGGGAACUGUGAAGAGACUAUUCCUGGAAAGCUGUAUCUGGGCAGUGAAAAGGAGCAAGUAGGCAUUAUCAGCUUCCAUCACCCAGUGAAGUUGUCUCCAGGCAAUGAUCAAAGGAAAUUGUGCAGCUGCCUUUUAAGUCUAUUACACAACAAGAAUUCCAGGAUUUUGAUUUCAUUUCAGAGAUUACCUAUUUUAACACGCAUUUCUCACAUGGGAAAGAUGCAUUCAGGAACCCUACUAGCUUUGAAGAAACUGUUGCUGAGAGCUCUCUGAUGUCAACAGCGGGGCCAUGUUUUGAGUCAUCUGGCAACAUGGCUUUACAACUGCAAUUGCUGGAACAACUGAAGCAGAAGCAAAAGACCACCAAAGGACAUACUGAUCUUUUGUUGACUUAAACCACUUGGGUAACAAGUCCCUGGUGUGAACCGGCACAGGUGUUUUCUCAGCCUAAAAAAUAUUCUACCUUUCUCAUUGAGUCACUCUCCCCUAUGGCACAUUCAUUGUGGAAAUUCACUUUUUUUUUUUUUUCAGGAGUGGAAGCACAACAGUUCUUUCUAAUUCCUUGUUUCAUAUUCUAAACUCUAGUCUAGCUGAGAAAUUCUACUUUAGUUGCUAUUCUCUCUAUUAUAAUCACCACAAAUUACAAUUUUAUUUCACAAACAUAAAAUAAUGUCUUUAAUGUAUAACUAAGCUGAGAACUGCAGUAAAUUAAAAAAAAAGUUAUGAAAGCAAUGAUUUUAAAAAUGCAAAUUAGAUGUAUUAGCAUUAAUCCUCAGUUAUAUGGAAACAGUAAACUGAAAUGAUGACUGAUAUAAUUAAAUAAAAUAUAUCUUACAUCAUGUAGAUGGCUAUUU
rnacentral:lncRNA from 1 species